CAAGGUCGCGAGUCUCCACGCCGCGCUUGACCUGGCGGCAGCACCGUACUUGACAGCGUAUUGUCGCCAACACCACCCCACCAGCAUCCCGGCCGAGCGCUGCUCCCGCAAACUUUCUAGACGAACGAGCCGCAUUUCUGUCCCGGACCAGCCCCGCACCCGAGACCCCAUCAGCUGCCUCGCUUUUAAAACUUUCGUGCGGCGAAGAGUGUUCUAAGA